rnacentral:rRNA from 1 species
CCUACGGGUGGCAGCAGUAGGGAAUUUUCGUCAAUGGGCGCAAGCCUGAACGAGCGAUGCCGCGUGAGUGAAGAAGGCCUUCGGGUCGUAAAGCUCUGUUUCGGGGGAAAAAAGGCAGCAUCAGGGAAUGGGUGCUGACUGAUGGUGCCCGGCCAGCAAGUCACGGCUAACUACGUGCCAGCAGCCGCGGUAAUACGUAGGUGGCGAGCGUUAUCCGGAAUGAUUGGGCGUAAAGGGGGCGCAGGCGGUCCUGCAAGUCUGGAGUGAAACGCAUGGGCCCAACUCAUGCAUGGCGUUGGAGACUGGAGGGCUGGAGAGCAGGAGAGGGGGGGGGAACUCCAUGUGUAGCGGUAAAAUGCGUAGAUAUAUGGAAGAACACCAGUGGCGAAGGCGGCCGCCUGGCCUGUUGCUGACGCUGAGGCACGAAAGCGUGGGGAGCAAAUAGGAUUAGAUACCCGGGUAGUC